rnacentral:rRNA from 1 species
AGUGAACGCUGGCGGUAGGCCUAAUACAUGCAAGUCGAACGGCAGCACAGCAGAGCUUGCUCUGUGGGUGGCGAGUGGCGGACGGGUGAGGAAUACAUGGGAAUCUGCCCAGUCGUGGGGGAUAACGUAUGGAAACGUACGCUAAUACCGCAUGCGCCCUACGGGGGAAAGUCGGGGACCGCAAGGCCUGACGCGAUUGGACGAGCCCAUGUUCGAUUAGCUAGUUGGCGGGGUAAAGGCCCACCAAGGCGACGAUCGAUAGCUGGUCUGAGAGGAUGAUCAGCCACACUGGAACUGAGACACGGUCCAGACUCCUACGGGAGGCAGCAGUAGGGAAUAUUGGACAAUGGGGGCGAACCCUGAUCCAGCCAUGCCGCGUGAGUGAAGAAGGCCCUCGGGUUGUAAAGCUCUUUUGUCCGGAAAGAAAAGCAUCUGGUUAAUACCCGGGUGUUCUGACGGUACCGGAAGAAUAAGCACCGGCUAACUUCGUGCCAGCAGCCG